GCAUGUGUGAAUUCAGAAACCCGGAUGCCAGACUAGUGUGUCAGGCAUUGCCAUUUUUCCCAGAACAGACAAAGGCUAACACAUCAUAUACCUUCUUCCGUCCAGUGCUUUUUUAGAGGGCUUUGGUGGAGUGCUCCUUCAGUUACUCUCUGGUCUAUCACUCACCUGAUAGAAAACAAUCUGGGCUGUGUCCUAAGUGAAUCACAGCACAGAGAAUGAAGUGUUGUAAAAAUAAAUUAAAAAAAAAAAAAAAAGACAACAAGCUCACAGCUUUGAAAAGGAAGCAACCUCUAUCCACAUUUGUUUUUUGCUGUUUUAAUCCCCAAGUUAGUUAUCAAGUAGUCCCAAAAACUACGGUGAUUUCCAGCCAGAGCUUGUAGACUACACAGUGCAUCCAGAAUAGAGGUUCGAGAGGUUGGUGUUACUCCCCUUGCUCAGAGGUGUCGGUUGGGAUUCGACCCCCAGCCCCAGUUCCAUCCCAGAGCCAAGGGGACUCUCAGGAGUGUGGAGCACAGGGCUACUCUUGCAGUGUUCCCAUCCACCAAGUGUUAAGUAUUUGGGAGGUGGGACUGGGAAUCUUGCCAUAGUUUUGCAAAAGUGUCCUUAUGGAAAAAUGUGCUCAAACUGCUAAAAAGCUCGCUUCUCUGAGAACUAUGGGAAUGCGUGCGGUUGUCUCUCCCAUACAGCCAGGGUAAAAUAGCUACAAUCCUGCUUUUCCUCAUUAUAUCUGAAAAGCAACGAGCCUGCACUCUCUGGACAGGGGCUGUGAUGUGCCGCCUUUUGGUUCUCCUACAAGCACCUGUGUAAUCACUACUCCCUGACGAUUUUAAUUCCAGUUUUACCUAACAAGUCAGUCAGGGUCCACUUUCUCUCCCGAUCUCAGCCUCAUCUGGAACCGCCUGUGACCAUCUCGUUUGUACGUCUUUUCUCAGUAUGUAUCAAAGGCUCAGAUAGAUGACCUCCUGCUUGGUUUUCAUUGGUUAACAAAAUUAGCUUCCAAAUUAAGAAAUGGGGGUUAUGAAGUCAGCUCUGAAAGGGAAGUGCCUAUGUUUCAGAUAUAUCUGCUUUAGCUGUAGGAACUUGGAGCUCCUGGUUUCUUGACAGCCUUGUUACUUAAGCAUUGCUAAUUUAAAUGAAGAAUUACAGAAUACCCACAAUUAUUCAUCAGAUGUUAACAGAUGUUUGGGAGAGCUAAGAGGUUGCAUUUUAUUUAAUGCUCCUAGACUAGUUCUUCUCACUCUGUAGGUUGCAACCCCAUUUGAAAAAUCUCUAUUUCCCAGAAUAUUUACAUUACGAUUUACAACAAGAGCAAAUUUACAGUUAUGAAGUAGCAACGAAAUCAUUUUAUGACUGGGGGUCACCACAGCAUGAGGGACUAUAUUAAAGGGACACAGCAUUAGAAAGGUUGAGAGGUGCCACCCUGAACUGUUGAUGAGGUAGCAAUGAGCUUCAUAAAGAAUGGCCCUAGAACACCUGCUGCCCACAGUGAAGCCAUGUUUCCUCAGCACUGAAGAGUCGUGUCCUGUGUUGGGAUGGGUGGACGCCACCCUGUAGCAAGUGCUUCAAAUUAGGCACAUCUCAAGUCCCUGACCUCUCCUCGGUCUCACAGGUCAGCAACUGCGUAUCCUGUGGUCUGCCCUAAGCUUGAGUAUCCUCUUGAUUGCACUCCAAGUCUAAACAAGUUCUCUUUUCAAAAUACACUUGUCACCUGGCCAACCUUCACCACCUCCUGUGAAUGCAGCCUUGCCGUUUAUGGGAACUGCCCUGUAACCAGCCUUCCAGCACCUAGUAAACUGUACCGGCUACCCAUCUGUAGCUAGGGCUCCUUUAAAAUGAGUCACUGGCCUGGUCCAGACCUCCCAUGGCACUCAGAAUUCCAUCUUCCUUGAGUGGCUUUCUGAGCCUCAGGACCCACAUUUCGGCAGCCACUGUCUUUGUGUUUAUUUUGCCUCUGGACUAUUCUCUGCCUUUCUGUUCCCAUCCCUCCAGCGCAUGUUGUCUUGUCUCAUCCUUGGAGAGAGUCUCUGGCUGAGCUCACCCUUCUUGCAGGGUGCCCCGCCCUCUCUGCUUGCUCCAUAGCACCUCACCUUUACACAGGGAAUUUCCUUAUUGUCUGCUUCAACUCUUUCAGCCCCACCCCCAGCUCCUGGGGUGCUGGCUGGCACACAGUAGGUGCUUACUUACACUUAUAGAAAGGAGAACUAGAUGUGAGGUCGGUGUUGUGGGGAGUAGGGAAGCCUGACCUCUGGUAAGUUUCCUCAAAAUUACCUCCUAAUUAAAGGGUUAUUUUAGAAAAUAAGUUCUCCACUUAGAGAGCCCUGAGGACAGCACUGACAGCCGCCUGCCUGCGCAGCAGCUCUGAGGGCCAGUGAGAGAGUACAGAGGCAGGUUGUGUGCCUUUGGCAUUUCUAGCUGAGAAGAUUGAGAAAUCACUGGUAAAUGACUUGUGUAAAUAUGGAGAUUUUUUUUUUAAAUGAGAGAAAUAGGCUUUUAGUUUCCCAGAGUCAUUGUAUUGCCACAACUUAAGAAGGCUUUGUCUCCUUUCUGGCAUCAUCCAUGUCUUAGAGUUCCCUACUC
rnacentral:lncRNA from 1 species